rfam:Solanum lycopersicum cultivar Heinz 1706 chromosome 9, whole genome shotgun sequence.
AUAACCAACACGCUAUCGAUGAAAAUGAAACGAUAUAGAGAAUAUUAGAAUGUCCCUGCGCAAGAAUGACAAACAAAAUUGAGAAAUAGUCCAAAUUUUU